GGCUUAGAGUUUGAUCAUGGCUCAGGAUGAACGCUAGCGGCAGGCUUAACACAUGCAAGUCGAGGGGCAGCAUAAUGGUAGCAAUACUAUUGAUGGCGACCGGCGGACGGGUGCGUAACGCGUAUGCAACCUACCCUUUACAGGGGGAUAACACUGAGAAAUCGGUACUAAUACCCCAUAAUAUUCUGGGAGGCAUCUUUCGGAGUUGAAAGCUUUGGUGGUAAAGGAUGGGCAUGCGUUGUAUUAGCUAGUUGGUAAGGUAACGGCUUACCAAGGCGACGAUACAUAGGGGGACUGAGAGGUUAACCCCCCACAUUGGUACUGAGACACGGACCAAACUCCUACGGGAGGCAGCAGUGAGGAAUAUUGGUCAAUGGACGGAAGUCUGAACCAGCCAUGCCGCGUGCAGGAAGACGGCUCUAUGAGUUGUAAACUGCUUUUGUACGAGGGUAAACGCAGAUACGUGUAUCUGCCUGAAAGUAUCGUACGAAUAAGGAUCGGCUAACUCCGUGCCAGCAGCCGCGGUAAUACGGAGGAUCCAAGCGUUAUCCGGAUUUAUUGGGUUUAAAGGGUGCGUAGGCGGUUUAGUAAGUCAGCGGUGAAAUUUUGGUGCUUAACACCAAACGUGCCGUUGAUACUGCUGGGCUAGAGAGUAGUUGCGGUAGGCGGAAUGUAUGGUGUAGCGGUGAAAUGCUUAGAGAUCAUACAGAACACCGAUUGCGAAGGCAGCUUACCAAACUAUAUCUGACGUUGAGGCACGAAAGCGUGGGGAGCAAACAGGAUUGGAUACCCUGGUAGUCCACGCAGUAAACGAUGAUAGCUCGUUGUCGGCGAUACACAGUCGGUGACUAAGAGAAAUCGAU
rnacentral:rRNA from 1 species